rnacentral:rRNA from 1 species
ACGAACGCUGGCGGCGUGCUUAACACAUGCAAGUCGAACGGAAAGGCCCUGCGUUUGUGGGGUGCUCGAGUGGCGAACGGGUGAGUAACACGUGAGUAACCUGCCCUUGACUUUGGGAUAACUUCAGGAAACUGGGGCUAAUACCGGAUAGGAGCUCCUGCUGCCUGGUGGGGGUUGGAAAGUUUCGGCGGUUGGGGAUGGACUCGCGGCUUAUCAGCUUGUUGGUGGGGUAGUGGCUUACCAAGGCUUUGACGGGUAGCCGGCCUGAGAGGGUGACCGGCCACAUUGGGACUGAGAUACGGCCCAGACUCCUACGGGAGGCAGCAGUGGGGAAUAUUGCACAAUGGGCGGAAGCCUGAUGCAGCAACGCCGCGUGCGGGAUGACGGCCUUCGGGUUGUAAACCGCUUUCGCCUGUGACGAAGCGUGAGUGACGGUAAUGGGUAAAGAAGCACCGGCUAACUACGUG